rnacentral:rRNA from 1 species
UGAAACCGUGUACGUACAAGCAGUGGGAGCACGCUUAGGCGUGUGACUGCGUACCUUUUGUAUAAUGGGUCAGCGACUUAUAUUCUGUAGCAAGGUUAACCGAAUAGGGGAGCCGAAGGGAAACCGAGUCUUAACUGGGCGUUAAGUUGCAGGGUAUAGACCCGAAACCCGGUGAUCUAGCCAUGGGCAGGUUGAAGGUUGGGUAACACUAACUGGAGGACCGAACCGACUAAUGUUGAAAAAUUAGCGGAUGACUUGUGGCUGGGGGUGAAAGGCCAAUCAAACCGGGAGAUAGCUGGUUCUCCCCGAAAGCUAUUUAGGUAGCGCCUCGUGAAUUCAUCUCCGGGGGUAGAGCACUGUUUCGGCAAGGGGGUCAUCCCGACUUACCAACCCGAUGCAAACUGCGAAUACCGGAGAAUGUUAUCACGGGAGACACACGGCGGGUGCUAACGUCCGUCGUGAAGAGGGAAACAACCCAGACCGCCAGCUAAGGUCCCAAAGUCAUGGUUAAGUGGGAAACGAUGUGGGAAGGCCCAGACAGCCAGGAUGUUGGCUUAGAAGCAGCCAUCAUUUAAAGAAAGCGUAAUAGCUCACUGGUCGAGUCGGCCUGCGCGGAAGAUGUAACGGGGCUAAACCAUGCAC